GGAUACCUGGAGAGGUUGCGCUCUCUCUCAGCUCUGUCCAUGUGGCGUGUGGGAGUGUAGGCCUUUGUGCUCUGUGACAUAUAGUCCCCUUCCACAAAGCCGGGCCCUGAGUUCUGCAGCCUGCAUAUUCCUAAUUCUCCAAGUCCUUGGGCUGUGAUGGAGCAGAUAAACCAUGCAGGAGACAUUA
rnacentral:snoRNA from 1 species